AUUGAACGCUGGCGGCAGGCCUAACACAUGCAAGUCGAGCGGACGAAGGGAGCUUGCUCCUGGAUUCAGCGGCGGACGGGUGAGUGAUGCCUAGGAAUCUGCCUGGUAUUGGGGGAUAACGUCCGUAAACGGGCGCUAAUAUCGCAUACGUCCUGAUGGUGAAAGGGGGGGAUCUUCGGACCUCACGCUAUCAGAUGAGCCUAGGUCGGAUUAGCUAGUUGGUGGGGUAAAGGCCUACCAAGGCGACGAUCCGUAACUGGUCUGAGAGGAUGAUCAGUCACACUGGAACUGAGACACGGUCCAGACUCCUACGGGAGGCAGCAGUGGGGAAUAUUCGACAAUGGGCGAAAGCCUGAUCCAGCCAUGCCGCGUGUGUGAAGAAGGUCUUCGGAUUGUAAAGCACUUUAAGUUGGGAGGAAGGGCAGUAAGUUAAUACCUUGCUGUUUUGACGUUACCAACAGAAUAAGCCCCGGCUAACUUCGUG
rnacentral:rRNA from 1 species